rnacentral:piRNA from 1 species
UGAAUCUUCAUUAGGGACACAGAGCUAAGC